UACGAAGGGGGCUAGCGUUGCUCGGAAUCACUGGGCGUAAAGCGCACGUAGGCGGAUUCUUAAGUCAGGGGUGAAAUCCUGGAGCUCAACUCCAGAACUGCCUUUGAUACUGAAGAUCUUGAGUUCGGGAGAGGUGAGUGGAACUGCGAGUGUAGAGGUGAAAUUCGUAGAUAUUCGCAAGAACACCAGUGGCGAAGGCGGCUCACUGGCCCGAUACUGACGCUGAGGCACGAAAGCGUGGGGAGCAAACAGG
rnacentral:rRNA from 1 species